CCUUAUCCUCAACAUGUUCCAAAUCGCCAUGUCUUCGGGCGUAAAAAUAAAGAAAAGAAAAAAGAAGAGAGGAAAAAACAAGAAAAGAAAAAAAUGGCAACAUAUUCUCUCCCAACUGCAUACCCCUUGUGUCUACCAUCAUCAUCAUCCUCUUUGUCAUUAGCAACAAGAACAGAUGUUUACCACCCCAUCAAAUGCAGUGUGAAAAAGCAAUUAACUCUUAGCAAAGCAGUUAAUGAACCAGCAAUACAUCCUCCAAUUCUGACCAAAAGAGGGUUAUCCAUCAGUUUUGUGACCACCUUUGUGCUUUCAUUGACUGGUGAGGAUGCUAAUGCUGCAAUCCUUGAGGCAGAUGAUGAUGAGGAGCUCUUGGAAAAAGUGAAGAGGGACAGAAAAAAGAGAAUUGAGAGACAAGGUGUGAUUAGUUCAUCCACCAAAGAAACAGCGUAUCUUCAGGACCUGGUAUAUAAACUGAGUGAAGUUGGUAAAGCAAUUGAAAACAAUGAUCUACCUACAGCCGCUUCUGUCUUUGGGAGUGGCACUGAUACUGAUUGGGUCCAAAAAGCUAAUAUAGCUUUGAAUAAGUGCCUUCACUAUCAUUCUCAAGGGGUAAAGAUUAAAAAGCCUAUGAGAAGGAAAAAUUUCAAACACAGCACUUGCGUGUGGGAUACAAUGAACAUUGGAACAUACUCUUCAUUCUCCACUAAAACUGAGUGCCAGUCCUGAAGAAAAGACUGAGGUGGACACAUUCAAUUCCUCGCUAGCUUCAUUGAUUUCAUCAGUUAUUGGGAAUGACGUUGAGUCCUCCAAACUUGCCUUUGUGUCUUCGGCCAGUGCAUUUGAGAAGUGGACCUCCUUGACGGGGCUGAUUGUUCAGCUUAAGGGGCUUUGAGGGGAAGCUACAACAUAUUCUAUCUAAAAAUUUGUUGAUAAAUAUAGAGAAUUCCAUUAACUUCCCGUCAGGUUCACCUAAUUGGUGUCUUGGUGGUUGGUGCAGUCCCAUUUCAGCUUUAUCUAUCACUACUACAAAAGGCAAAUAUACUAAUCAUUCGUUGCUCAAAAAGUUUGAGCUUGAUUGUGGAUAGUCUCAACUCUCAAGCAAAAUUGCAAUUUUGAUGUCUUUGUGAAUUUAGCAAGUUCUACUUUUUCUUUUGUUCAACGAACAAAGCAAAUAGGACUUUUCAA